UUAGUUGUGAUGCUGAUUCCUUUGUUACAGUUUCCAAACUCGCGCAAUAUAUAGCCAUGUUCCGCAGAAGACAAGAUAAACCUACAUACUAGAGCCAUUAGAGAUUACACAUAUACACACAAAAAUAUAAUGGCAUCAUCGAAGGCUGAGAAACCUGUUGGCGCCCAGCUCUCUGGACAGAGCAAGAAGGAAGCUUCCAAGGUAAGUGAAGGUGCACCCAAAGCUUCUGGUUCAAAGUCAGCCUCAAAAAAGGCAGCUCAAAAGCCUCAAGAACCUAAGAAGAAGGGAAAAGGUGGCAAGCCAGCAGCGAAGCACUGAUAUGGAGUGCAACAAAACUAUCAAGGACUGAAUUACUAAUGGUCUAAUUAUACUUAAUUAUGUAUCAAAUGGCUCAAUCAAUAUUUAGUGUACUUUAGCCAGGGACUGGUCAUCUAUACGUGAAAAGUCUCUGCAUAUUGCUGGGCUUGCCCUAAUGAAAUAAAUAUUGUUUAUAUUUACAAAGCUUUUUACCACUCAAAUAAACGAGAGGGUGCAUCUAUUUAUAUUUA